rnacentral:rRNA from 1 species
CCAAUAGCGUAUAUUAAAGUUGUUGCAGUUAAAAAGCUCGUAGUUGAAUUUCGGGAUCAGUACGCUGGUCGUGCCUUCGGUAUGCACUGGUGUCACUGGUUCCUCCCUUCUGAAGAACCGUUAUGCCAUUCAGUUGGUGUGGCGGGGAAUCAGGACUGUUACUUUGAAAAAAUUAGAGUGUUUAAAGCAGGCUCGCGCUUGAAUACAUUAGCAUGGAAUAAUGAAAUAGGACGUUUGAUCCUAUUUUGUUGGUUUCUAGGAUCGACGUAAUGAUUAAUAGGGAUAGUUGGGGGCAUUAGUAUUCAAUUGUCAGAGGUGAAAUUCUUGGAUUUAUUGAAGACUAACUACUGCGAAAGCAUUUGCCAAGGAUGUUUUCAUUAAUCAAGAACGAAAGUUAGGGGAUCGAAGACGAUCAGAUACCGUCGUAGUCUUAACCAUAAACUAUGCCGACUAGGAAUCGGAUGAUGUUAAUUUUUUAGUGACUCAUUCGGCGCCUUACG